rnacentral:rRNA from 1 species
CAGUCGCCACGGGAAUACGUAGGGUGCGAGCGUUAAUCGGAAUUACUGGGCGUAAAGCGUGCGCAGGCGGUUGUGUAAGACAGGUGUGAAAUCCCCGGGCUUAACCUGGGAACUGCGCUUGUGACUGCACAGCUAGAGUAUGGCAGAGGGGGGUAGAAUUCCACGUGUAGCAGUGAAAUGCGUAGAGAUGUGGAGGAACACCGAUGGCGAAGGCAGCCCCCUGGGCCAAUACUGACGCUCAUGCACGAAAGCGUGGGGAGCGAACAGGAUUAGAUACCCCUGUAGUCCCUGUCUCUUAUAC